CAGCUCAUCUUCACUUUGUACAUCUGCAAAACCAACGCUGUCCAUCUUGCGAAAAGGCUUUGGUGUCCCCAUGUCGACCACUCUGCAAAGAAAGAAAGGAAGUAUGAGGGAACCACGCUUGCAGGCUGCCCACCAACAGCUGUCCUACAGCCACUGCCAAAUCCUGAUCACUGGGGCACCACAGUUACCUCUCUGACUCUCCCUCCUCCUCUGGCAAGUUUUCCAAGGGAGAUGGGAAUUCAAAAGUAGUAUUGGGUGUGCGGGGUGUGCCAUCCACACACUCAUUAGCAGGUGGGGCUUCUCCCGUCUGCUUCGAGCCUGAUUCACUGUCCUUGUUUCCCUCUGGAGAUGAAAAAGGACCCACUGCCAAAGGAGACAUUGGGUUGGCAGGUGGGUACGGCGCAUCUGUGCCAUCGCUGGAGGACCCACUCUGGCGCACUUUGCCUGAAUCUGGAGGCUCUGGGCUAACAGAAGGCACUGCAGGGAUGUGCUUUUGAUGGCGCUGCUUCUGUAUCUCCAUGGCUCUGCCAAUUGCACUGCUGUCAUGUCGGCUGGGUCUCCUCGGUGGGCCCAAGAUAUUAGGAAAGCCUCUCCUCUUUCCUUUUUCAUCUCCUUCUUUCUCUUUCUUGAUACUUUGCUUGAUCUUUGGCAAGAAACCAAUACGGCCACGCUUCUGCUCCAGGUUCCGAGCCUCUUUAGCUUUGACUCCGAGGUGCUUCAUGUAAGUAAGAAUCACAUACUGUAUGGUGGAACUCUUGUCUUCCUCCAAAGGUUGGGAUGUCAUCAGGACUUCCUCAAUUUUGGCAAUAAUCUGUUCUGCACAUGCUCUUUCCUUCUCCACUGCGUUCCGGUCACGAACCCUUUCUGCAUCCAACUUGGUCAACUCCCCCUCUGCCAGGGUCAAACCCAUACUAC
rnacentral:lncRNA from 1 species